rnacentral:lncRNA from 1 species
GGGGCAAAGUGUAGAAUAUUGUUUGGUGUUUUCCAAUUAUGGGUGACAUAAGACCUAAAAUUUGAUGUGCAUUAUUAGUAUAUGAUAUGAUGAUGAUAAUGGGUCCAUGUGAAUUAUAUUUGUUGGUGUGUUAAUAUUUAAAUGCAAAAUGACAUGAAAAUUAAAUAAAAUUUAUGAGAAAAGUAUGAUGAAAAGUGAAAAAAAGUGUAAAACCAAAAACUAAAAAGCAGCCUAAAAAGGAGACAAACACGUGAUAAUAUAAUGAAAGUUAGAAAAAGAAGAAAGAAGUACCCUUUUCUUCCACCAACUCUCUUUAAAGUGCAUC